rnacentral:rRNA from 1 species
AUGAACGCUGGCGGCGUGCUUAACACAUGCAAGUCGAACGAAGCGCUUAAACAGAUUUCUUCGGAUUGAAGUUUUUGUGACUGAGUGGCGGACGGGUGAGUAACGCGUGGGUAACCUGCCUCAUACAGGGGGAUAACAGUUAGAAAUGACUGCUAAUACCGCAUAAGCACACGUGAUCGCAUGAUCGAGUGUGAAAAACUCCGGUGGUAUGAGAUGGACCCGCGUCUGAUUAGCUAGUUGGUGGGGUAACGGCCUACCAAGGCGACGAUCAGUAGCCGACCUGAGAGGGUGACCGGCCACAUUGGGACUGAGACACGGCCCAAACUCCUACGGGAGGCAGCAGUGGGGAAUAUUGCACAAUGGGGGAAACCCUGAUGCAGCGACGCCGCGUGAGCGAUGAAGUAUUUCGGUAUGUAAAGCUCUAUCAGCAGGGGAGAAAAUGACGGUACCUGACUAAGAAGCACCGGCUAAAUACGUGCCAGCAGCCGCGGUAAUACGUAUGGUGCAAGCGUUAUCCGGAUUUACUGGGUGUAAAGGGAGCGUAGACGGAGUGGCAAGUCUGAUGUGAAAACCCGGGGCUCAACCCCGGGACUGCAUUGGAAACUGUCAAUCUAGAGUACCGGAGAGGUAAGCGGAAUUCCUAGUGUAGCGGUGAAAUGCGUAGAUAUUAGGAGGAACACCAGUGGCGAAGGCGGCUUACUGGACGGUAACUGACGUUGAGGCUCGAAAGCGUGGGGAGCAAACAGGAUUA